rnacentral:sRNA from 1 species
CUGAUGUCCAUGGAGACUGAAGACGCCAAGAGAUGGGCAGUCUUCCUCUAUGCUACACUGUCCAUGUGUCUGAACCCUGGCCUGCAGAGUCCCCCUGUAGAGAAGGAGAGGGGAGUUCAAUCUUCAUGGCCCAAUCAGUCCUUGGCAUCU